GAACGCUGGCGGCGUGCUACCUACAUGCUAAGUCGAACGUUUUUGUUAUUCACCGGAGCUGCUCCACCGAAAACAAAAGAGUGGCGGACGGGUGAAUAACACGUGGGUAACCUGCCCUCAAGCGGGGGAUAACACUUGGAAACAGGUGCUAAUACCGCAUAACAAUCAGAAUCGCAUGAUUUUGAUUUGAAAGGCGCUUUUGCGUCACUUGAGGAUGGACCCGCGGUGCAUUAGCUAGUUGGUGAGUGUAACGGCUCACCAAGGCCACGAUGCAUAGCCGACCUGAGAGGGUGAUCGGCCACACUGGGACUGAGACACGGCCCAGACUCCUACGGGAGGCAGCAGUAGGGAAUCUUCGGCAAUGGACGAAAGUCUGACCGAGCAACGCCGCGUGAGUGAAGAAGGUUUUCGGAUCGUAAAACUCUGUUGUUAGAGAAGAACAAGGGUGAGAGUAGAAUGUUCACCCCUUGACGGUAUCUAACCAGAAAGCCACGGCUAACUACGUGCCAGCAGCCGCGGUAAUACGUAGGUGGCAAGCGUUGUCCGGAUUUAUUGGGCGUAAAGCGAGCGCAGGCGGUCUC
rnacentral:rRNA from 1 species